rnacentral:rRNA from 1 species
UACGUAGGGGGCGAGCGUUGUCCGGAUUUAUUGGGCGUAAAGAGCUCGUAGGCGGUUUGGUAAGUUGGAUGUGAAAUCUCCAGGCUCAACUUGGAGGGGUCAUUCGAUACUGCCAUGACUAGAGUUCGGUAGGGGAGUGUGGAAUUCCUGGUGGAGCGGUGAAAUGCGCAGAUAUCAGGAGGAACACCCGUAGCGAAGGCGGCACUCUGGGCCGGAACUGUCGCUGAGGAGCGAAAGCGUGGGGAGCGAACAGG